rnacentral:rRNA from 1 species
UACAGAGGUCCCAAGCGUUGUUCGGAUUCACUGGGCGUAAAGGGCGCGUAGGCGGCGUUUUAAGUCGGGGGUGAAAGCCUGUGGCUCAACCACAGAAUUGCCUUCGAUACUGGGACGCUUGAGUGUGGUAGAGGUUGGUGGAACUGCGAGUGUAGAGGUGAAAUUCGUAGAUAUUCGCAAGAACACCGGUGGCGAAGGCGGCCAACUGGACCAUCACUGACGCUGAGGCGCGAAAGCGUGGGGAGCAAACAGG